GCAAAUGAGGUAUGAGGUGUCAUUUUAACAUCUACUGAAAUAAAAGUAGAGAAACACAAAAAGAAAGAAAUCAAUAACGUUAAAGAAAAUGAGGAUGGGAAUGAAUUAACAAACAAAUGAUUUUAACACAUUCCUGGGAGAUUGGGACUGACUGGGAGUGGCUUGUGAAUCAAACAUGCUGAAGGAGCCUAAGUUUUAUAGAUCACAGGAGCUUCAGGGAGACAAGAGCCAAUCUGUUCGGCAGAUUCCCAGAAAGUCUCUGGCCCGAGUCAAGAGCAAGCUAAUGGGAACUGGUGUUAAAAUCAAGGGAUUCACUUGAUGUCUGAGUAAAGCUUCUGCCACCAGUGGGCACCUCCAGCCCCCUUCCCCAAACCAACAUGCAGGCAGAUGGCAUGCAGGGCUGUGUCUAAAUAAACUACACAACAUUUGGGGAAAGCAAAGACAACUAGCCUUGAGUGACCUAUGGACGAAACACAGCAAGUUUUUCUGUGCUUAUGGAACAACAGGCAAAUAUUAACAACCUUAUAAUGUGUAAAAGUAAAAAUGUAGCUGAUAGGGGGAGAAAAGGGACACGUAGAAGGAAGUAAGAAUACUGAUACACUGAUAUCACCAGUGUAGUCACUCAUUCAUUGACUUGCCAAAUAUUUACUCUGAAUCCAAUGGGUGCAGGUGCUGUUCCCAGGCACUUGGCAUAUAGAGAAAGGGAAAAAUCACACAAAACUCGUUACCUGCAUGGAGCUUACAUUACAUUAUGCCAUUGUUACUAGUGCAUGUUUUAUAUUGAUUAAUAUAUAUAUUUAAAAUUAAGUACUCUAAGAACUGUUAUAAGCAAAGAAUGAGACUCAUUUUUCAUCCACUAAAUGUCAUGGGAUUAAGCACAGAUCAUUAGAAAUGGAUUUUCCUUUAUCUUUUAGCAAGUGUUUAACAAUUGAUACCAUUUCGUUGUCUUUCUUGGCUGUAAUAAAUGGUGGGGUCCCAAUGACAAGCUUGUGAAGGUAAGUGCUGGAAAUGAAAGAUAGUUUGGGUACAGUUCAUUUGAACAAAAUCAUGCUUUCAUUUCCCCAUUGUUUACCUGUGCGUAGCCAGCAGUAUUUAGGAAAGUGGUGCUAGCAUUUAUUGAAUGCUUAUUUUGUAUAAAGCACUUUGCAUAUGAUAAAUCACUUAACACACUCAGCAACCUUAUGGUAUUGACAUUAAUUUUCACAUCUGAGAGUUGAGGAAAUUGAAGAUGAGACAAACAGGGAAGCUUGCUAAUGGCAAUUCACGGGGUAGGUGAAGAGUUAGAUUUCCAUCCUAGGUAUGUCUGACUCCAAAAGCUGUGCUCUUUCUUCCCCAACCCUUGGUUUUGCCAGCGCAGACUUUUUUAGAAAAAGGCCAGAUUUCAGUAAAAUUAGUAAAGUUAGACUUCCCAUGAUAAGUCAAUGUUUGGUAGGAUGUAAAUUUCUGUAGGUAGCCUAUUUUUCUAGGUACCUAAGACAUUUAGCUAAUGUGGUAAAUAUUUCAGCAUCAAAUUGAUAGUAAAAGUACACAUCUAUUAGUUGCCUAACAUUUGAAUAAAAAGAAAUUGCAAAGUUUUAUUUUCAAGCUCAACCAAUAGUAUCCUAUCUAGUCCCUAUGCUGUCUUUUAAAAUAUCCUUUAAUGGUAGUUUAUUCUUGGACAACUCUUUUGCUCCAUUUUAUAACCAAUUUUGCGUACAUGAUUUCUUGUGUUGCUAUUAUCUGCUGGAAUGAGGCAAUGGUCCUCCCAUGAACCUACUAGGUUAUCAAAAAAGAGAUAUGCUCCAGUACCAAGUUAGAUGCACAUAAAUUGGGGGGCAAUAGUGGUAAUAAUAACACAAAAAUAAACUAGCUCCUUUUUUGUGUACAUAUUGGGUGCCAGAUGCUUUGCACGCAUCACCUCAUGUAAUCCUCUCUGCAGGUCUGUGGGGAAGAUACUGUGACCAAUAGUCUACAAAUGGAAACCAUAAGCCUGAGAGUUUAAGCAAUGUGUUCAAACUUGUCACAAACCAAGGAACUGAUAGAAUAGGGACUUGAACGGUAGGUUUAGGAGUACUCUUGUCAUAUUUCUAAAGUUACCUGAUAUAUAAAUAAUUUUACACAUUCUGUCAUGCUGUCCUUGGGAGACAAGACGGGCUGUUGAAUAGUAAAGUUGGAUGCUGUGGUUGAUCUGAAGUGGAUUUGCCUCUACCAAUGCCACUGGAGGGAAGUCCCAAGUGGGAUACAUUCUCUAUCUUGUUUGGUUCCAUGCUGUUCUUGACGAACAUCUAGAGAUGACUUGCCAUGCUGUUGCUGCUGCUGCUGAUUAUUAUUAUUAUUAUUAUUACAGAAUAUAAAAAACUGAAAAGAGGAGAGGGAAAAUAAGUGAGGAUGAGAAUCUUAAAAAGUUAUAACAGGUUAUAGCAAGAUGAAACUAAAUAAGGAUAAAUUAUAAUUGUGCUUUUGUCUAAAAAGUUAUUUUUUUCAUUACAGAGAAGAAAAGAUGCAGCUUAGUAAGAACUCAUGCAAAAAUUUGGCCAUCUUAUCAAUCUCAAGGCUUCAUUAAGCAUCUUUACAAUGAUUGCUCCCAAAUACUUGUUUCCAGUCCAGACCUCUACAUGGCCCCAGUCCGCUAUGUCCAAAAGCUCUACCAAUUCCUCCUUUUGGUGUGAAAAAGGCUGCUCAGACUCAGGAUGUCCAAGAAUAAACUCUUAAGCCAUCCUCUCCAAGUCAAGUCCUCUUCCAAUAUGCCAAAUCAGUGAAUAUUACCACCAUCUGUUAUGUUAGUAAAUUCAAGCAUCAUUGCUGGUAUCUCUUUCUCCCUCAUCCUCUCUUCCCCAUCUUUAAUUCCUCUCCAGACCCUGUCCAUUUUCACUCCUAGAAUCUCAGAAUUUGUCACUCUUUCAUCUCCGCCAUUAUCUUAUUGUCUAUGGAACUAUCAUUUCUUGCCUAUAGUAUGCUGUGGUCCAUCUGGUCUCAGUAUUUCUACUCGAGCCCUCUUCAUCCCACUUAACAUACCAGCAUGAGUGAUAUUUGCAUUACGAAAAUGGGAUCAGGACAUACACACAUCUACUCCCAAGAUUAAGUUCCUCUAAUGCCUUUUUAUUUCUCUCCAAUACAGGCAGAAAUCAUGCCCUUAUAUACAUCCUCAAUCUCAUCUCAGCAAUCUCCUCUUGCUCUCUGUACUCCAGUAGCACAGGUUGUUUUUAAGUUCCUUGAUCACACUGUAGAAUCUCUAGCCAUAAAGCCUUUGCAUACCUUCUUCCUUCUGUUUGAUAUAUUCCUUUGUCCUCUUUAUUUGUCAAUGCCUACUCACCCUUCAGAUCCCUCUGUUCAGGUGGCAUUUAGAAAAUUCUCCCUACUCUCUAGGUUGAGAUUCUUUUGUUACAUGUUCUUAUAGUUACAUGUUCUGUUCCUGCCCUUUGGAGUUCUUAUCUCAAUUUAUAAUUCAUUCAUUGGUUUACAUAACACAUACUUAUUGAAUAUUUAUUGUAUAGCAAGCUCUUUUAAAUGCUGGGGAUAUAGUGAUAAAUUAAAGAGUUCCCUCUUAAGGAUCUUCAUUUGGUGGUAGAGGAGAUAUACAAUAAUCAAAUCAACAAUAAAAUAUAAAUUGUGUCCUUUGGUGAACAUGCUACAGAGAAAAAUACAUCACACAAAGAGGGUAGGAAGUGUGUAUGUGUGUGCACAAAUACAUACUAUUUUAAAUAGGGAAAACUGAUGAGGUAACAUUUAAACUAGAUGAGAGAGUGAACCUUGCAUAUAUCAGGUAGAGGGAGGAGUAAGGGCAGAAGCCUUCUGAUAAAAGUAUGUUUGCCAUGUCUAACGAGCAACAGGAAGGAAGGCCAGUAUGUUUGAAGCAGAUUAAUAGGAAUGAAAAUGGCAGGAGAUGAUGACAGAGAUAGGGGUCAGGUGAGGAAGGACCUAGAAGGUUGAUAUAAGAACUUUGGCUUUGAGUCUGAGUAAGUGGGAAAUAAUUAUGAAAUUUAAGCAAAGGAUGUGAUCUCACAUAUGUUUCUUUUUAAAGGAUUGCAUGGGCUGCUGUGUGGAGAAUAAAAUCUGUGUGUGGAUAGGGUUGAGGAAAGGUAGAAGAAGGGAUAUCAGUUAUGAACUUGUCUGCACUGAUUUAGAAAAAAAGAAGGGAGAAUUACAGAGAUUCACUUUUGUCCUCACCUAGCCUGUGAUAUGAGGGUUUAAAGGACUGUGGAAUCCACAAGGUGAAGAGAGAUGUGCAUGGCAUUCAACUAUAUGCCAAACACAAGGCUAACAGAAGUAAAAGUAUAACAAGUACAGUCAGCAAAAAAGACCUCAAUGGUAAACUGUUGAGAAGCUGGGGUGAUGAGCUUCCCACUCACGAUUCAAAUGUCCCAGAUGAACCUGUGAGAAAAGGAGCAGAGGAGAGAAUUCAAAACAAAGCUUGCUCCUGAAAUCUUGGGAUUCUGACUUGUAAAUUGACAGGCGAUCCCCAUGGAGCUACUGCUUGUGUAAGAAACAAAGUCAAAGAUCUGUUAAGCAAGUUAAAGAGCCUUUUUCAAAGUCCUGCCCAGAUGGAAGUUCCUGUUUACAUUUUCAUAGAAGUGGAUUGUCACGAAAACAGGUUUGGGGAAAAUUAAUGGUGUGGUUUUCACAUAGUAAAUUGGCUACUGGCAUGUUAAUUGAAAAGAAUAUAAACUGUUCAUUGGCUAACUGAAUAAAAAACUGCUUAAACUAUCAUUUUCCAGCUCAUGUGGUCAAUGUUCUAUUGAGACAGCUGUCUUAACCUAUAUGUGGCAACAUAUUGCCUUAUUAAUGAUCAUUAUUUCCAUCACCAUUUUGCUUAGAGGAGUACCUCACAAAGAAAACAAACCCAUGGUGAUAAAGACUAUGGCAAGAAAACUUGCUUUGUAUUCUUUUUUGCUUGAAAUUUUUUUACCAAGAUAGUUAUGAGUCACAUGCAAUCAUAAGAGGUAAUACAGAGAGAUCCUGUUUUUACACUUCCCAGCUUCUCUCAGUGGUAACACUUUGCAAACUAUAGUAUAUCAGCACAACCAGUAUAUUGACAUUAAUAUAAUCCACUGAUCUUAUUCGGAUGUCCCCAGUUUUACUUGUACCUGUGUGUGUGUUGUGUGUGUGUGUGUGCUUCAUUCUAUACGAUUUUACCACAUACAGGUUCCUGUAUCAGCUUAGUCAAGAUACUGAACAAUUCCAUCCCACAAGGAUCCCUCCUGUUGCCAUUUUAUAACCAUAUCCUUGUAUCUCCCCCUUGCCUCUCUCACCGCCACUCAAACCCCUAACAACUACUAAUCUGCCCUUCAUUCUUAAAAUUUGUCAUUUCAAAAACCCAUGCUGGAGAUAUACUAGUUUGUUUAACCAUUCAUCUGUUGAAGGACAUCUGAACUGUUUCAAGUUUUGGCUAUUACAAUAAAGCUGCUAUGAAAAUCCAGGUACAGCUUUUGGUGUGGAUAGAGGUUUUAAUUUCUCUGGGAUAAAUUCCCAAGAGUGCAUCUGCUGGGUUGAAUAGCAAUUGCAUGUUUAGUUGUAUAAGAAACCAUCAAGCUGUUUUUUAGAGUGGCUAUAUCUUCUUACUUCCCACCAGCAAUGCAUGAUCUUGUUUUUGCACAUCUCCAGCAUUUGCUGUUGUUACUUUUUGUUUCAGCCAUUCUGUUAGGUGUAUAGUGAUAUUUCACUGUCAUUUUAAUUUGCAUUUAUCUGAUGACUAAUGAUGUGCUUAUUUACCAUCCACAUACCUUGUUUAGUGAAUUGUCUGUUCAUGCCUUCUGCCUUUUUUUUUUUUUAAGAGAAAGAGAUUGAGAGAGAGAGCAAACAGGGAAGAGGUGCAGAGGGAGAGAGAGAAUCUUAAGCAGUCUCCAUGCUCAGCGCAUAGCCUGACACGGGGCUUGAGUCCACCACUCCAGGAUCAUGACCUGAGCCAAAAUCAAGUCUGUCGUUCAACUGACUGAGUCACCCAGGUGCCCCUACCCUAUUUUGCAUUUUCAAGUGUACAGCUUUCUAACUUCAGUUGUGGAUUCUUUUUUAAUUGAAACAUACAUUGAUACCAUGUACAGACCUUCCUUGACUUACAGUAGGGUUACAUCCUGAUAAACCUAUCAUAAUUUGAAAAUAUCAUAUCAAAAUGCAUUAAUAUACCUGCCUACUGAACAUGAUAGCUUAGCCUAGCUCACAUUAAAUGUGCUUGGAACAAUUACAUUAGCCUACAGUUGGGCCAAAUCAUCUAACAUAAAGCUUACUUGAUAAUAAAGUGUUGAAUAUCCAUGUAAUGUAUUGAAUACUGACAGCAUGAUUGUCUGGGUAUAGAAGGCUUAUAAGCAUAUGGAUUGUUACCCUUAUGACUGAGGGGCUGACCCGGAGCUAUGGCUCAUGAUGCUGCCUAGCAUCAUGAAAGAGUAUCAUACCACACAUCACUAGCUGGGAAACUACCAAAUUCAAAAUUUGAAGCAUCAUUUGUAUUGAAUACUAUCACUUCUGCACCAUUGUAAAUUAGUAAAGUCUUAGGUUGAACCAUUGUAAGUUGGGAACUAUCUGUAGAAAAUUUUUUCACUGUUUCAUUUCAAACAGGGAUGCCAACAUAUUUCCCACAGAUAUAAGCCUUAUAUCUGUACUCAAGAUUCACUUGAGAGCUCAGCAACGAAUCAGGGAAAUGGCUUCCAGAAAACUCUUAUUUUUUUUUUAAUUUCAUAAAAUAUUUGUGACCCUUAGGGAUUCUGAUUGUUUCAGUUAACUAGCUAAUAAAUUAGGUCAGGUAAUGGAAAAUAAAUUUACAUUUUAAAAAAUACAUCUGAGUUGUAGGAUAUCCUACACUCCCCAUCAACAGAUGGUUUCAGCUAGAAAGAAACUUCCUAGAAGAGAUAUCAGGGAUAUAAGAUGUUGAACCUUUGUUGCGGAGCUGGGCUCAGCAGGGCCUGCAAGACAGGCACAACUGCCAAUCCUUGACAUGUGGUUUAUUAUCAGUGAGGGUCAGUAGAGAACUGACAGGGUGGCAAGAGGGGCUGAAAUCUCAUUUCGGCCAGCCACAGCACAUACCAUGGACACCAAUGGCUGGGUGCUUGGUGGAAGUCUCUACAGUGAGAGGAGGGGUGAGUAAUGAUGACUGGGAUAGAGAAAGCAAUGGUGCCCUCCAGAGCCCCUACCCGCCUAGGGCUCAGUAUAGAAGGGAAAGUUUCCAAGCCAGUGAAGACAGAGAUGGGUGAAAUAGACCUACAAGAGAUGU